UACGGAGGGUGCGAGCGUUGUCCGGAAUCACUGGGCGUAAAGGGCGCGUAGGCGGCGCGGAUAGUCGGCGGUGAAAGCCCGGAGCUCAACUCCGGGUCGGCCGUCGAUACUUCCGGGCUUGAGCACUGUAGAGGCAGAUGGAAUUCCGGGUGUAGCGGUGGAAUGCGUAGAGAUCCGGAAGAACACCGGUGGCGAAGGCGGCCAACUGGACCACAACUGACGCUGAGGCGCGAAAGCGUGGGGAGCAAACAGG
rnacentral:rRNA from 1 species